UGGGGAAUUUUGGACAAUGGGCGAAAGCCUGAUCCAGCAAUGCCGCGUGUGUGAAGAAGGCCUUCGGGUUGUAAAGCACUUUUGUCCGGAAAGAAAUCCUUGGCUCUAAUACAGUCGGGGGAUGACGGUACCGGAAGAAUAAGCACCGGCUAACUACGUGCCAGCAGCCGCGGUAAUACGUAGGGUGCAAGCGUUAAUCGGAAUUACUGGGCGUAAAGCGUGCGCAGGCGGUUUGCUAAGACCGAUGUGAAAUCCCCGGGCUCAACCUGGGAACUGCAUUGGUGACUGGCAGGCUAGAGUAUGGCAGAGGGGGGUAGAAUUCCACGUGUAGCAGUGAAAUGCGUAGAGAUGUGGAGGAAUACCGAUGGCGAAGGCAGCCCCCUGGGCCAAUACUGACGCUCAUGCACGAAAGCGUGGGGAGCAAACAGGAUUAGAUACCCUGGUAGUCCACGCCCUAAACGAUGUCAACUAGUUGUUGGGGAUUCAUUUCCUUAGUAACGUAGCUAACGCGUGAAGUUGACCGCCUGGGGAGUACGGUCGCAAGAUUAAAACUUAAAGGAAUUGACGGGGUCAAGCUGUUUCC
rnacentral:rRNA from 1 species